AAGUCGUAACAAGGUAACCGUAGGUGAACCUGCGGUUGGAUCAUUACAAAACUUUUUUUAGGGAGUCAGCGUGCAAUCACUUGCCCACUGGCUCCUGUGUCUCGGGGGGCACAUGGAGAAUAAAGGACACAACCUCUCUGCAGGAACGGACUCACCGGGAGAAAUGCCGGUGCUACUGCGCCCAGAGAGAUGAUUAUUGUGGCCUAAGCCCCAUGUUUCUUCCGAUUGACAAUAAAAAACCCCACAUUUGUGAACUGACUCGUCUCUGGCGGGGGGGUAGUGAAAUAUAUACCUGUCAGCUGUCAUGCAGCCGUGGACAUCCCGUCAACCCCUUUUAAACUUUUUUUUGUUGAGAACUCUUCUGUCUGACAUAUACACUUGUAUCAAAUAUACAAAAACAACUUUUGGCAACGGAUCUCUUGGCUCUC
rnacentral:misc_RNA from 1 species